CCCUUAGAGUUUGAUCCUGGCUCAGGACGAACGCUGGCGGCGCGCCUAACACGUGCAAGUCGAACGGAGACACUCUGUUCACUGAAUGGUAGAAGGCGGCGGAACCAGAAAGGGAGCGUCGGUUUUCUACUGUUGAGUGAAUAGAGUGUCUUAGUGGCGGACGGGUGAGUAACGCGUGAAUAACCUGCCUUGCAGUGGGGAAUAACACACCGAAAGGUGUGCUAAUACCGCAUGAUGUAAGGGGAAGGCAUCUUCCCCUUACCAAAGAUUUAUCGCUGUGAGAUGGAUUCGCGUCCGAUUAGAUAGUUGGUGAGGUAACGGCCCACCAAGUCGACGAUCGGUAGCCGGACUGAGAGGUUGAACGGCCACAUUGGGACUGAGACACGGCCCAGGCUCCUACGGGAGGCAGCAGUGGGGGAUAUUGCACAAUGGGCGCAAGCCUGAUGCAGCGACGCCGCGUGUGGGAAGACGGCCCUCGGGUUGUAAACCACUGGCUUUGGGGAC
rnacentral:rRNA from 1 species